rnacentral:tRNA from 1 species
GCGGGUAUAGUUUAGUGGUAAAACCU